rnacentral:rRNA from 1 species
CAUUGGAGGGCAAGUCUGGUGCCAGCAGCCGCGGUAAUUCCAGCUCCAAUAGCGUAUAUUAAAGUUGUUGCGGUUAAAAAGCUCGUAGUUGAAUCUGUGUGCCACGCUGUCGGUUCAUCGCUCGCGAUGUUUAACUAACAUGAUUGUGGUACGUCCUACCGGUGGGCUUAGCCUCUCGGGGCGGUCCAGCUUAAUAUCCCAUCGCGGUGCUCUUCAUCGAGUGUCGAGGUGGGCCGGUACGUUUACUUUGAACAAAUUAGAGUGCUCAAAGCAGGCUAUGUUCGCCUGAAUACUGUGUGCAUGGAAUAAUGGAAUAGGACCUCGGUUCUAUUUUGUUGGUUUUCGGAACCCCGAGGUAAUGAUUAAUAGGGACAGAUGGGGGCAUUCGUAUUGCGACGUUAGAGGUGAAAUUCUUGGAUCGUCGCAAGACGGACAGAAGCGAAAGCAUUUGCCAAAAAUGUUUUCAUUAAUCAAGAACGAAAGUUAGAGGUUCGAAGGCGAUCAGAUACCGCCCUAGUUCUAACCAUAAACGAUGCCAGCUAGCGAUCCGCCGAAGUUCCUCCGAUGACUCGGCGGGCAGCUUCCGGGAAACCAAAGCUUUUGGGUUCCGGGGGAAGUAUGGUUGCAAAGCUGAAACUUAAAGGAAUUGACGGAAGGGCACCACCAGGAGUGGAGCCUGCGGCUUAAUUUGACUCAACACGGG